CUACGGGCUGCUCCAGUGGGGAAUCUUAGACAAUGGGGGCAACCCUGAUCUAGCCAUGCCGCGUGAGUGAUGAAGGCCUUAGGGUCGUAAAGCUCUUUCGCCUGUGAUGAUAAUGACAGUAGCAGGUAAAGAAACCCCGGCUAACUCCGUGCCAGCAGCCGCGGUAAUACGGAGGGGGUUAGCGUUGUUCGGAAUUACUGGGCGUAAAGCGCGCGUAGGCGGAUUAGAAAGUUGGGGGUGAAAUCCCGGGGCUCAACCUCGGAACUGCCUCCAAAACUGCUAGUCUAGAGUUCGAGAGAGGUGAGUGGAAUUCCGAGUGUAGAGGUGAAAUUCGUAGAUAUUCGGAGGAACACCAGUGGCGAAGGCGGCUCACUGGCUCGAUACUGACGCUGAGGUGCGAAAGUGUGGGGAGCAAACGGGAUUAGAUACCCGGGUAGUC
rnacentral:rRNA from 1 species